UACGUAGGGUGCAAGCGUUAAUCGGAAUUACUGGGCGUAAAGCGUGCGUAGGCGGUUUUGUAAGACUGUCGUGAAAUCCCCGGGCUCAACCUGGGAAUGGCGAUGGUGACUGCAAGGCUAGAGUUUGGCAGAGGAGGGUAGAAUUCCACGUGUAGCAGUGAAAUGCGUAGAUAUGUGGAGGAACACCGAUGGCGAAGGCAGCCCCCUGGGUCAAAACUGACGCUCAUGCACGAAAGCGUGGGGAGCAAACAGG
rnacentral:rRNA from 1 species